GAUGAUAUGCCUGAAUAAAAGGAUUAUUUUGAUAGAAUAAAUCAUAUGCUCACUUGAGUAUUUUCAUU
rnacentral:tRNA from 1 species